CGACGAGACACCUUGCUCUUCAGCAAGAGCUCUCUUAGCACCCAACAAGGUGGGAAGCCCGACCCCGAGGUUCCCAAGCGCGAGCUUUAGGAACUUCCUUCUGGCAUCAUUAGUCUUGUGCUCGAGGGAGGCAGUCACAGAAACUGGCCUCUGUGCAACGCCACUCGAAGGAAGUGUCGAGAAGGGAAGCGGCGUCUUUGCAGCAAGGCUCAUGGAUGUUGGAGCCAUCUUCGCUCACUGAGUG
rnacentral:misc_RNA from 1 species